rnacentral:rRNA from 1 species
GACGAAGGGGGCUAGCGUUGUUCGGAAUUACUGGACGUAAAGCGAGUGUAGGCGGUUGUCAUAGUCAGGCGUGAAAGCCUUGAGCUCAACUCAAGAAAUGCGCUUGAUACUGGGCAGCUAGAGGACCGGAGAGGAUAGUGGAAUUCCCAGUGUAGUGGUGAAAUACGUAGAGAUUGGGAAGAACACCAGUGGCGAAGGCGGCUAUCUGGACGGUUUCUGACACUAAGACUCGAAAGCGUGGGGAGCAAACAGG